rnacentral:pre_miRNA from 1 species
UCCUAAAGAUGACCAAAGAAAAUGGUUUCUUGAGAUGGAACCUACUCCUGGUGAUGAUACUGUGAA